AGGGACUUCCUUGUUACCAGACGUUCAAAGUUUUUGAGUAGUUGGUGGAACUUUUUUUUCUAUUGAGUUUGUUUGGGGGCAAAGGCUGUCGGGGCUGGAUGCGCGUGGGACGGGAGACGGGCUGUUUCGCCGGAGGGUAAGACACCUCGAGAAAGGAGAGAGCGCGAGAGAGAGAGAGAGAGAGAGAGAGAGAGGAAUGAUUCUUACGCCUGAGAGAGAACGAUGUUGAUUCGUGUUAAACUCAACUCUGACUCGGCUUCAGCUCAAGAUUUUUGGUUCAGCUCAUUUUCCUGGCGUUUGUAGCUGAACUGCUCGGGAGCCUUUAAUUCAGGGACUGCGGACGAAGAGGGUCUAAACCCCCGAGAUCGAGGCUGCUGCUCCGAACAGCCCCAACUGUAAGUUUGACCCCACGAUGAGCGACCAGGGCCACCGUGUUCCCCAUCUUCCCGGCUCUGAGCCCCUUUCCAGUCGCUCCCCCGAGGAGGGCUGGGAUUCCCGCUGUCCCGACGAGGAGGACGAGAAGGCGAGGAGCGAAGAUGAAGUUGUAGUUGGGAGGACCACCUCUGCAAUGAAGCCCAUUCAGGAAGA